rnacentral:rRNA from 1 species
UACGUAGGUGGCAAGCGUUGUCCGGAUUUAUUGGGCGUAAAGCGAGCGCAGACGGUUUAUUAAGUCUGGUGUGAAAGCCCGGAGCCCAACUCCGGAAUGGCAUUGGAAACUGGUUAACUUGAGUGCAGUAGAGGUAAGUGGAACUCCAUGUGUAGCGGUGGAAUGCGUAGAUAUAUGGAAGAACACCAGUGGCGAAGGCGGCUUACUGGACUGCAACUGACGCUGAAGCUCGAAAGUGCGGGUAUCGAAC